rnacentral:rRNA from 1 species
CAGUCGCCGCGGGAAUACGAAGGGGGCUAGCGUUGCUCGGAAUCACUGGGCGUAAAGGGUGCGUAGGCGGGUCUUUAAGUCAGGGGUGAAAUCCUGGAGCUCAACUCCAGAACUGCCUUUGAUACUGAGGAUCUUGAGUUCGGGAGAGGUGAGUGGAACUGCGAGUGUAGAGGUGAAAUUCGUAGAUAUUCGCAAGAACACCAGUGGCGAAGGCGGCUCACUGGCCCGAUACUGACGCUGAGGCACGAAAGCGUGGGGAGCAAACAGGAUUAGAUACCCGUGUAGUCCCUGUCUCUUAUAC